AGAUGUAAAUUGGACAAUCUGACAUGACAUCUGUCACUCCAUCAUCACCAGAAUUAAAUCAACUGAUUGACUGUCUAGGUAGCUGUUGCCUUUCUCCUUACUACUCCACAGAUGUCCAACCCAGAAUUGCACUCUUAGUGGAAGAAUUUGAUCUUCUCUAUGGAGUAGGAUUGAUCUUUGGUCAAGGGUGCAAGAGUAACUCUGCUCCUCGGCUAGAUGCUCCAAACAAGCCCUUCAAAGUAGAUCAGGAAGGUUCCACCCCACUGGGCUACCAAUUGGAGCACCCUGUU
ensembl:misc_RNA 7SK 7SK RNA